AUGAAGGAAGAAGGUAUAUCGCAUUUACCUCCGGAACUGAGGGAUAUUCCAGUAACAGUUGCAGCGAGUUCCAGCAAAGCGGAUGGCAUGGAAAUCCGGAAACUCUCGACAAAGCUCUUAUCUAGGUUCGAUCUACGAAUAGGUUUCGGAUUGAAGUAUAAAGGCAAUCAUGCUGGUUCCAGAACGGGUGACAUCCCCCUUGGGACACUUUUGAAUGGCUUUGCAAGAUUGGUCAAGGGUUUGUGGAAAGCAUUGAACUACUUGGACAUGGACUGA